rnacentral:rRNA from 1 species
GGCGGACGACUUGGUUCUAGACGCUGAAGAAGGACGCGGCUAACUGCGAAAUGCCUCGGCAAAGCGUAUGCAGCUAUUGAACCGAGGAUCUCCGAAUAGGACUUCCUCUUGAAUCCGAAAGGAUGGGGAACGCAGGGAACUGAAACAUCUUAGUACCUGCAGGAAAAGAAACCAAUAGGGAUGCGGCAAGUAAAGGCGAUUGAAAACCGCAAAAGGCAAACUGAAUCUGACAUUGAAAGAUGUUAGAAAUGUGGUGUUAUUGGACUGUCCUUAAGCCCAAACUUGGAAACCUGAAGUCUUCUGGAAAGAAGUGCCAAAGAGGGUGAUAGCCCCGUAAGGGCAACUAAGUGGGCCCAGACAGUAUCCAGAGUACUGCUCCUUGGAUAUGGAGUGGGAAGUUGGGUGGCAUCAACAUCCAACCUUAAAUACGCCUAGAAUCCGAUAGCGAACAAGUACCGUGAGGGAAAGUUGAAAAGAACCCGUGACAGGGAGUUAAAAGAGCCUGAAACCUAAUAGAUAUGGAUAGGCACUGCACUACGGUGUUGUGCCGUGCGUUUGGAAAAACGAGCCAGGGAGUUUAUUCGUGUGGCAAGCAUAACUUCAUCAAAAGGAAUGCAAAGCGAAAGCAACAAGCCCGCAAGCAAUGAGGGGCGAGGUCUAAAAGGGCCUGAAGUCACUCGAAUAAGACCCGAAACCGCUCGAUCUAGUCCUGGGUAAGGUGAAGUGAGGGUAAAACCUCGUGGAGGCCUGAAGAGGUGCUACAUGCAUGUGUUCUUCUAACCUGGGAUUAGGGGUGAAAAGCCAAUCGAGAGCGGUGAUAGCUGGUUCCUACCGAAGUUGGCGUUAGUCAAACCUCAAGCGAGACCACAAAACCUGUAGAGCUACGGAAAGAAAAUUUAGGGGGAGAAAUCCUUCGGUUUUCUGUCCAACUCCGAAAGAUUUUGUGUCAUAGACCUUGGGAGACGGGGAUUCGGGGUAAGCUUGAAUUCCGAGAGGGUAACAACCCAGACUAUGGUUAAGGUCCCUAAAUACUAGUUAAGUGUUAAAGGUUAAAAGGUAUCUGCAUCCAGAGACAACAGGGAGGUUGGCUUAGAAGCAGCCACCCUUCAAAAAGUGCGUAACAGCUUACCUGUCGAGGAUGCGGGUCCUGAAAAUGGACGGGGCUAAAUUAGUUACCGACACCAUAGACGAGCCAAAAGCUCGUGAUAGGUAGGCGUGCUGGUCGGGCAGAAGCACGUUUGAAAACUCGUGUGGACCGAUUAGCAACGAAAAUCCUGGCGGUAGUAGGAUCUUAGCAAUGUGAGAAUCAUUGCCGCUGAAAGGGCAAGGGUUCCUUGACAAUGUCAAUCAGUCAAGGGUAAGUUGGUCCUAACUGAACUCCUAACAGGAGUUUGUAAGGAAAGGGAAACAGGUUAAUAUUCCUGUACUACCAAAGUAUGCGUGGCAACACAAGCCUUGUUUCUGACACUUUUGGCUAGGCAGGCACAAACCGUCGUUUGUGUUAAUCAUGAUAAAUCGAGGGAGUAUCGUUACGAUGAGAACUCGAUUAAACGUGAGAAUAGUAAUCCUAUGGGUUAUCCUGUCAAUGCCUGGAGUCCAUGAAAAAGGAACAAGGAAAAAUCUUUGGUAUCCAUACCCAGAACCGGCACUGGUGCCCCUAGGUGAGAAGCCUAAAGCGUGAAGGAUUAAUCUGGUUAAGGGAACUCGGCAAAUUAGCCCCGUGCCUUCGGCAUAAGGGGUCCCUGCUCUUGUGUUCACAUGAAUGCGAGAGCAGGGCGCAGUGACUCGGGGGUCCCGACUGUUUAACAAAAACUUAACCGGCUGCUAAGCUGUAAAGCCUUGUAUAGCCGGUGACGUCUGCCCAGUGAUGGUAUCCGAACCUCUUUUACAAGGGAGCGAAGGACCAUUAAACGGCGGGAGUAACUAUAACUCUCUUAAGGUAAACAAAGUUGCCUUAGUAAAAUCUGGCUAUAUGCUGGAAAAUCUGAGUAUCCCACACUACCACUGGACAAUAUCGCGUAAAAUAUAUAAACAAACUACAUAGUAAUUUGUUUUAUGAAAAAAACGCAUGUUCAAGGUAACAAUGUGAUGGGUGCAGACAAUCAGCAGGAAAGACUGGAUGCUAACUGGAUUGCUGGUUUUGUUGAUGGAGAAGGUUGUUUUCAUGUUUCCAUUAACAAGAUUCCAAGAAUGAGCUUGGGAUGGCAAGUACUUCCUGAAUUCAGAAUCGUUCAACACGAAAAGGAUGAUAAAGUCUUAUACCAAAUCAAAAAAUAUUUUGGUUUUGGUGAUGUUAAAAUCAAUAGAAGUGAUCAUCACGGUGUGAGAAAAGAAUUCAGAGCAAGAGGUUUGGAAAAUCUCAACAAAAUAGUUGCUUUUUUUAUGAAGUAUAACUUAAAAACUUCAAAAAGAAAAGAAUUUGAGAUUUUUUCGCAGAUUAUUCAUUUAAUGAAUAAUCAAAAACAUCUGACUAAAGAAGGACUUGACCAAAUCGCGCAGCUUAUUUCUAGGAUGAACCGCAAACCAUUAUUAAAGUAUUUAGAAUCCUCAGAGACUAUACGCCAGACACGUACUAAUACGUGAAGAUAUAGUCCGACCCGCUAGGCGACUAGCGGAGAUCCUAAAAAAUCCUAUGGAUUUUUGGGACGCCGAAAAUUCUCAAUUUUCGAGCGCGUGCAGAAAUGCUCGUCCGCCUUCCCACACAGGAAGGUCAUACCUCUUACGAGGAAAAGUAACAGAUGUGAGCGUAAUGCCUUGUCGUUUGAAUGGCGACGUGCAUGAAGGGCGCAACGAGGUCCCCACUGUCCCUAACCAGAAACCUCCGAACACACCAUUCUGGUGAAAAGGCCAGAGAUCUCCAGUGGGAAGUCUAGACCCCAUGGAACUUUACUGCAAUCUGUUGUUGUGAUGCGGAUUCUGUUGUAUAGAGUAUGCGGGAGUUGUUUGAGGUCUUGAUCGUCAGGUCAAGGCUGAGACGAAAGUGUAACACCGCACUUCAGAAUCUGCAUUGCUUACUCUUUUCGGAGAGGACACCUGCAGGUAGGCAGUUCGGCUGGGGCGGCACGCUGUUGAAAGGAUAUCAAUAGCGCCCUAAGGUUGACUCAUUCCGGUCGGAAAUCGGAAGUAGAGUGCAAGGGUAAAAGUCAGCCUGACUGAAUUAUGAUACGGAAAUAAUUCAGGAACGAAAGUUUGGCCUAGCGAACCUCCGUGUCCUCCUUGAUGGGGGCCGGGGAUGACCGAAAAGUUACCCUGGGGGUAAUGGAGUUGUCGCGCCCGAGAGUUCAUAUCGACGGCGCGGCUUGCUGCGUCGCUGUCGGCUCUUCCUAUCCUGGCAGUGCAGAAUGUAUAGCACUUAAGUGAGGUUAUUGCCUCACCACUAUGGUGUUAUAACUGUAGGCUGCCAAGGGUGAGGGAGUUCACCUAUCAAAAGGGAUCGUUAGCUGGGUUCACAACGCUGUGAGGCAGUUGGUAUAAUAUCUACUGGAGAUGUAUUGAUGUCUGAGAGAAAGGAAGUCAUAGUACGAGAGGAACUGGCUUUCGAGGCCUCUAGUUUACCGGCUAUCUGACAAGGUAUUAAGCCGGGCAGCCACGCCUUAGAGGAUAAGUUCUGAAAGCAUCUAAGAACGAAGCCUCUCCCGAAAAGAGACAUCACAGGACAUGGUUAGAAGA